rnacentral:lncRNA from 1 species
GGAAUCAGAUCUUCCCUACCACCAUGUGGGUCCUAGGAACAGAACUCAAACUGUUAGACUUGGCAGCAAGUGCCUUUGCCCACUGAGCUAUUUCAUCGGCCAGAGAUGUUUUAACAUUUAAAUUUCUACCACCAAGAACAUGCAAGUCAGGCCCACUUUCCCAAGCAUUAGCCAGGCUGGGAAUGUGGCUCAAUUUCUUUUUUUUUUUUUAAAGAUUUAAUUAUUUAUUAUAUGUAAGUACACUGUAGCUGUCUUCAGACGCACCAGAAGAGGGCAUCAGAUCUCAUUACGGGUGGUUGUGAACCACCAUGUGGUUGCUGGGAUUUGAACUUCGGACCUUUGGAAGAGCAGUCGGGUGCUCUUACCAACUGAGCCAUCUCACCAGCCCCCGUGGCUCAAUUUCUAAAGUCUCUGCCUAGCAUGUGUGAAACCCUGGGUCCCAUCCCCAGCUCUGCAUAAACCAGGUGUGGUGGUGCAUGCUUGCAAUCCUAGCACAAGGAGGUAUAGGCAAAGAGGACAGACAUUCAGGGUCCAUCCUUGGCUAUAGAGAGAGCUCUGGCCAGCCUAGGCUGUGUGAGACCAUGCC